AUGUAAAAGUCUUGAUUCUAAACUCAAGUUCCUUGGUGUUACUUGUGUCAUCAUAUUCAACAUUAUGAUGCUGGUAACUCAUGUUGCAACAAUCGCAAUAGUGGUGGAGACGAAGAGCGUUGAGCUCAUGCCAUUUUCCUUAGUGCUCUUUGGUUUCAUAAACUCCAUAGUCUGGAUGGCUUACUCUUUGAUCUACAAAAUCAAUAUUUACCUCUUUAUAUGCAGUGCGAUUGGCGCAUUCUUGAGUGCUUCUGAGAUAGUCAUUUAUGCUCUGUACAGACACAAGGUUAAAACAUGCAAGGUGAAGUCAGCUUGAGAGAUGGAAGAAUUUACCUCAAUUGUGAACUCUAUCAAUGCAUCUAAUAUUACGAAUGUUUGAAUAUUCUGGAUUCGUUUCUUUUAUCUGUAGAGAAACGUAACUAGUCUAACAUGUCUUGUUUUAAGAGAAAUUGAACUCUAUACGCGGAAACUAAACGAUAUUUGACAAACACAUGUUCACUAUUGAUAACAUCAAUACGUUUUUGCUCCUAUAUACUUGAUAGCUCUAGAGCACAGGUAGUCAGGUAGCAUGAUCUUUUUUACUCUGUGAGCACGGUCACAUGGCUUCAGCUCAGGGUGUGGCAAGAGACGUUAUUAAAGAAGAAUGCAUGGACAAUCUUGCGUCUACACUUCCAUUGAGUCUCUACACCUAUCCAACUUUCUAAAUUCUGGUUUGUUCGCUUAACUCAGGAUUUGACUCAGGAUGGUCCAUUGUUAAU